UCUUAUCCAGAGAGGUGGAGGGAGAAAGGCCCUAUGAAACCCGGCAACCUGUCGAUAGUGACAAGUGAUAAGUGACAAGUGACAAGUUAAAUUAAAUAAUUUGUCACCUGUCACUUGUCACUUGCAACUGGUAGACGUGGUGCAAAUUCCUGCAUAAAAUUAUUUUUUUUGCAAGAUAAGA
rnacentral:ncRNA from 1 species